AAUCUGGUGAAGGAAGAAAAAACUAAUUAACUAACUAACAAAAAAUACAAGCAGAUUUUCUGUUGAUGCUUACGAAUUUAACUGAUGAAGCUGUUUGGUGACUUUUCUGUUGGCUGCUGCUGUUGUUAAACUGAGGCUGGCUUUUCAUAUCAUCACCUGCACUUCCCUCUUCUCUCUUUCCUCUUUCCUCUUCGAUUGUUACCUCUUCCUGCUUCUCUUUUCGAUCAGCUGCAGAUCGAAUCCGCCGAUCUCUUUGCCCGGCUUCUUCGACUAGCUCCCUCUCCCAUAUACGCCGUUCGUCCACCCUUCUCCUCUUUGAUGUUCAUUGAGCAAUACCAUUUUGGUUCAGCAAAUACACGCGUGCAAGUAAGUUGAAUUGAAUUCCCUUUGUUCUGUGGGAUUAAUGAAUGUGAAGUGAAUGGACAAGAGUUCAAAUCUGCCUAUAAUGAAUGGGAGAGUACCCCAGCCAUGGGAAUCUGAGGUGUUGCAACAACCAUUGAUGUUGUCAAAGCCUGCAAAGGUUAAUGUCACAGUUAUGCUUGGCGGAUUCCCUUGAAAAGAAGGGAUUGGGAGGAAGCAUAAUGCCCAAAAAAAUAUCGAUUUACAAGGCCCUACCUUUGGCUUUGCCGCUGCAUGCACACCACUGAAAAUUGCAAGGUGAGGUUGCCCUUAAAGAGUCGUGUGAAUUGCUCAUAUACAAUUAAUUGUGCUCAUUUUUUUAUUUCGCAUUGAAGUUGCCUUUAAAGAGUAAUGUGAAUUGUUCAUAUGCAAUUAGUUCUCGCCCAUUUUUUAUUUCGCAUUUUCCAUAAGUAGGAGAAACAUAAUUAAGUUUGUUUUAUUACUUUUCGAGAUAAAAUAAAGAGAGUUAUGAGAAUGUUAAUUUUUGAGAAA